UUAAAAAAUCACAUUCAUUCUCUCUUCCCCACUCACGAUGCUCUCUUCGACCUUCACUCUCUUAAGCUUUGCCCAGAUGCCUCUCUCUAUCUCGGCGUCACUCUCUGUCACGGUGGCUCUCUCUCUCGCUUUGACUCGCUGGCUCGCCGUCGCUCUGUCGCUCGCCGUUGCUCUCUCUGACGUCGUGUCUCUCUCUCGCAUCGUGUCUCUGUCUUCCUCGGCGAGCAGCGACGUUUACUUUCCAACAGACCGAAGGGGAGUCAAGCUCAUGUUUUCAAAUGGGCGGAUGAAGCAAUGUGCGAAGAAAUCGAAGAAUUACGUAUCCAAAAUCUAACUAUCCUCCAUGCUGCGGAAAAACUGAAGGCCGAAGCUGAACUACUUAAAGGAUUUGUGUAUAAAACGUUGGCCGCUAUCGUAAUUCUAGGUGUGGUAUGUUUGUAUUAUUAUGUUCUUCCGUGUUUUUGAAGUUCGAUGUGAAAAAUGUAGUGUAUGGAUAUUUUGAUGAAUUAUGUUGUGUGUCGAUCGUUUGGAUAUGUAUGACGGGUAAGGAUUUGUAUGUGUCGGACAUGUUUAAAUGAAUCAAUGUUAUUUUGGUAUUUAUA